rnacentral:lncRNA from 14 species
AUUGAUUAAUAUUUGGAGAUAAAGGAGUUACCUAAGUUCAAGGUUUUAAUAUUAACCUUUAUCUAAUUGCAGCUAGAAGCAGCUGUGAUUAUUACAAGGGACUUGGAAACUGCUUCCCACAUCUCUGGUCAUCUCCACUUCAGAGACUGCCUGCUCUCUGGACCCUCUCCCAGUUCUAUUAUCUUCCUCUAGUGCAGAAAAUGACUUGGGAAUUAUGCUGCUAUCAGACAUCCCUGCUUCUGCAACUGGUGGGGCAGGGAGAAGGGGAAUUUCUGUGUUUCUGAGUUGAAUAUGACCAUGCAAAUGUUGAAUAGCAUGUACAGGUAAUAAGACCUAGUCCUGUGUUGGAUCAUUUCAAAACACACUGAAGUAACUCCAACAAAGCAAUUCAGGUAAACUGAUAUAAAACCUCUACAAAUUGUGAACCAUGCUAUUCAGUGACUUUAGAAAAAGAGUUUACCAAAUCAAAUUUCCCCUUAUAAAAUAAGAAAAUCAAUGCACUUUAUUACCCCUUGAUUUUUCUUUCUAACCUGUGUUAUAACAAUGUCGAAAUCUAUAAUGGCAAAUGUCAUAUCUGUAAAAGUGGUAAAUUUCAAAACUGUAUUAAAAAUGUAGGGGACAUUCACUUUUGAAAUGAUGUAUGACAUGACCUUCAACUCUUCAUAAUUUAAUAAGAAUGCAAGACUAACUAAUUAGACUUUGCGAUGACAGAUAACUGCUAAUUAUAAUUCCUUUUGAACAGACAAAAGAAUGUUCUAAAAAUAAAUGCUUUAGAGAGGUGGCA